AAUUUCAUAACUUGCUAAUAUGUGAGUUUGCAGCUGAGUUACACUCACAUUUUUCUACAAUUUGUCAUUGAAGACCAACCAAUUCAGCAUCAAACCUAACAUGUUCCCCUUAUGGCUAAAUUGAGAUUACUUUGGCCUAACUUUGUUUCCAAAACCAAGUAAUAGGUACUAUUUAGUAUUUACUACCCCACGUAAAAGGGGAGUGCUUUGUAAAAGUAAGCAAAGUACUGAGGUAUGUUGACCAAAGCACUAUAUCAAAUAAUGCAAUGGACAUAGCUUGUUUCACAACAAAUUUCAUAAUUGUUGAAGUGAUUGAUAUAAGUGAUGAACACAACUGACACUCAUGAAUCCAUUGAUUUUUCUUUACCACUCACAAGAUCACUUCAUAAUUGUGAAAUUUUUCAUUAAAAAAAUUUAUAUCCAUAGCAUUAAUUAUAAAUGAAAGAAGUUUUAUAUCAAAGAAAAGAGAUAGUAUUAUUUUGCAAAUUCAUGUUUGGCUACUCUGAUAGAUAAAAACUAUCCGUUAGAGCCAAACACAAGUAGCAAGAAGACAACAUAUGUACAGUUCUCUUUUAUAUCUUAUUGCAUUUGCAAAGGUGAAUGGAUAUGGCAAUAACAAGCCUCACCCUCAGCAGCAUGUGCAGCUACACUUGGCUUCAAAGCUCAACGCCACCACCACCGCCAUCACCACCACCUCGGCUGAGUGUUUGUUGCUAUUCUUCUACUCAGCUCUCUGUUCACAAAACCUUGACACACAUUCACAGUUCUAGUGUCAUAGCUUGCCUUCGUGCCAACAGGAUAACGCAAAGCUGGCACUAAAAGUUGCACGUGCUACACUUAGUGGUGGCAUCUCAGUUCUGGAGAUUGUGAUGUCUACCCCAGGUUCUUCAAUAGCUGGUGCAGGAGCAUCCUACUACAACCUUAGGAGUAAUUCUUGUUAGGUUCUAAGUACUUAGGAACUAAUGUAUUAGAACUCUAAUGUGUAUUGUUGACAAACCAUGAUCAAAACAGGUUGUUUAGUUUUGUUUAGACUUGCUCAAAGUUGUGUCUUUUAUGUAAAGUUGGAAUCGAGCUGUUGUAGAAUUAAGUAUGCAUUUCGGCCUGGCUCGAUCGAUCGAAGCUUAGACUCGAUCGAUUGAAUCUCGGGCAGAAUGUUUUUUCUGCAGAAUUUUUCCAACUCAGCCCGAGCCUAUUAAAACGUGUAAGGUUUUAUGUUUUGCCCUAAGUAUAAAAGGCAAACCCUAGCCACGUCUUUUAAGGUUGAUCUAUUUGUUGUGUGUGUGAAUCUCUUGUGAGAUCUAGAGGUGGUUGCCUUCACACAUGCUUAGAAUUAUCAAGAAGGAGAUUUGAUUGAGAGCUUGAUGAUCAUUCAGUUGCUGCACUAAAGAGUUUAAAGAAACACAAGCGGGUGUACUUGUACUUGUUGGAGAAUCCAAGAAAGAAGGAGUCCGUGAUCUCGAACCUUGCACGUGAUCGUGUCAGUAAGUUUCUACUAGUGGAUAGCAAUAGGAUGUUAGUGAUCUAAGUCGCUAUUGUAAAACUUCGAUUCUUUCAUAGUGGAUUCAAGUUUACCUUGAGGAUUGCUAGAUUAAAUCCUCCCUAGAUUUUUACCGGUGUGGUUUCCUGGGUCAUCA